rnacentral:rRNA from 1 species
AUACGUAGGUGGCAAGCGUUGUCCGGAUUUACUGGGUGUAAAGGGCGUGUAGGCGGAGAUGCAAGUCAGGAGUGAAAUCUAGGGGCUCAACCCCUAAACUGCUUUUGAAACUGUAUCCCUUGAGUAUCGGAGAGGCAGGCGGAAUUCCUAGUGUAGCGGUGAAAUGCGUAGAUAUUAGGAGGAACACCAGUGGCGCAGGCGGCCUGCUGGACGGCAACUGACGCUGAGGCGCGAAAGCGUGGGGAGCAAACAGGAUUAGAUAACCUUGUAGUCCACGCUGUAAACGAUGAAUACUAGGUGUGGGGGGACUGACCCCCUCCGUGCCGCAGUUAACACAAUAAGUAUUCCACCUGGGGAGUACGAUCGCAAGAUUGAAACUCAAAUGAAUUGACGGGG